rnacentral:rRNA from 1 species
GAUGAACGCUGGCGGCGUGCUCAACACAUGCAAGUCGAACGGAAAGGCUCCUGCUUGCAGGGGUACUCGAGUGGCGAACGGGUGAGUAACACGUGGGUGAUCUGCCCUGCACUUCGGGAUAAGCCUGGGAAACUGGGUCUAAUACCGGAUAGGACGAUGGUUUGGAUGCCAUUGUGGAAAGUUUUUCGGUGUGGGAUGAGCUCGCGGCCUAUCAGCUUGUUGGUGGGGUAAUGGCCUACCAAGGCGUCGACGGGUAGCCGGCCUGAGAGGGUGUACGGCCACAUUGGGACUGAGAUACGGCCCAGACUCCUACGGGAGGCAGCAGUGGGGAAUAUUGCACAAUGGGCGCAAGCCUGAUGCAGCGACGCCGCGUGGGGGAUGACGGCCUUCGGGUUGUAAACUCCUUUCGCUAGGGACGAAGCGCAAGUGACGGUACCCGGAGAAGAAGCACCGGCUAACUACGUG